GGAUGUGUGGGCAAUCUGGCUGCGGCAUCUGUCACCUCAUUGAUCACCAGGGUUGAUUCGCUGAUCUGGCUGGCUAGGCGGGUGUCCCCUUCCUCCCUCGUCACUCCAUGUGCGUUCCUCCCAAAGCCUCGCGCUUGGUCGAAGAGGACGGCCUUCCCUGAAUAGAGAUGAACCAGUCUUCGGUCGAGGGUAUAUGAGUAGCUGCGCUCCCCUGCUAGAACCUCCUCCAAACAAGAUCUCAAGUUGAAAUUAGUUGUUUAUAAUUAAUAAAUCAAUGUGACAAACAGAAUUUAGGACAGCUUAAAUGAUCGCUGGCCCCAGAAGUUC
rnacentral:snRNA from 1 species